CCAGGAUGGGGAACAAACUGGGAGAAAGAGGUGACAAAGCUAGGAAUGGAAGGAGGUAAGGAGGAUAAUGGAAAGAAAGCAGGCGGCGGGAAAAAUUCGAGAGAAAUUAAACAGAAAGCAAGUCAGCUUUGGGUAGAGACAGCCAACGGCGCCCCCGCCUGGGCUCUGCGCGCAGCAUCCUCGUCGUCGAACUACAUUUCCCGGCUGGCCUGCGAGCGCGGGGCGCAGGGACUAGAGCGCCGUCGGGGACUGGCCCCGCGCGGACUAGUCCAAUCUCGAUAGUCGCAGGCAAUCUUCCGCCUCCGCCGAUAACAUGGAGGCUGAGCUCGGCCGCCCCUGGGAAGAGGCGCUGUAAGGCAGGAGAUGGGGAAGAGCCGCAGCCCCAGCCGCCCAGCUGAAGCAGCCGGCCCGCGUCGCGGUCCGGAGGCAGAAGCAGGUGUGGCAGGAGAGGCCAAGAGGCUGCCCUUGUGGGCACACUGGUAGCUACUGUGGAAACUGGCAGUGCGGAGAGGCUUCAUCAAGGUGUGUGUCUCAGGGAGGCGGAAUGAAGACAACUUCCCGCCUGCAGGUGUCGGGGAAGGCACCCCUUGGUGGGAUUGGCCUCCGCCACAGUGCCAAGCGGGACCGAAAGUCCAUCACCCUGCAUAUGAAGUUAGAGGUGCUUCGGAGGUUUGAGGAAGGUGAGAAGUUGACUCAGAUUGCCCGGGCCUUGGGGCUGGCCACCUCUACCGUCGCCUCAAUCCGUGUCAACAAGGACAAGAUCCGGGCCAAUUCCCAGGCAGCCACACCUGUCAGUGCCACGAAGCUGACCCGCUGCCGGGGUGUGGUGAUGGGCCAUAUGGAACGCUUGCUGAGCCUAUGGAUUGAGGAGCAAAAGCGGCAGAACCUGCCCAUCAGCACACUGCUCAUCCAGGACAAGGCACGACGGCUCUUUGUGCAGCUGCAGCAUGAGCAGGGCAGUGGCACUCAGGCUGAGACCUUCGGGGCCAGUAACGGCUGGUUUGCCCGAUUCAAGGCUCGCAACAAUGUGCUUUUGACAGAUGAGCCAGCUGUGGCUGACACCCAGGCUGCUGCCCACUAUCCCCCAGUGCUGCGCACCAUUCUGGAGGAGGGCUGUUACUCACCACACCAAGUUUUCAACGUGGAUGAGACAGGCCUGUUCUGGAAGCGGCUGCCAGAGCGCAUGUUGCUGGCACUGGAGGGGGCAGCCGGGCCUGGCCUCAAGGCCUCUAAGGACCACUUGACCCUGCUGCUUGGUGGCAACGCAGCUGGUGACUUUAAACUGAAGCCUCUGCUAGUGUACCCCUCGGAGAAUCCACGUGCCCUCAAGGGCUGCUCCAAGGCCAGCCUUCCUGUGGUCUGGCGCUCCAACCGCAAUGACUGGCUGACACCCAGCAUCUUCCAGGAGUGGUUUACUGGCUGCUUCUGUCCUGCUGUAGAGAGCUACUGUGCCAGCCAUGGCCUCCCACACCGUGCCCUAUUGCUCCUGGAUGGUGCACCCUGCCACCCUGCUCACCUGGGUGGCCUCUCAGCCCACGUGAGGGUUGAGUUCCUGCCUAAGAACACAUCGGCCCUGAUCCAGCCCAUGAACCAGGGUGUCAUUGCCACAUUCAAGGCCUAUUACCUGCGCCGCACGCUCAGCCAGCUGGUCCAGGAGACGACUGGUGAAGACCGACCCUCUGUGCAGGAGUUCUGGCGCAGCUAUACUGUCGUGACUGCUGUGGACAAUAUAGCUGAAGCCUGGGCAGAGCUGCAGCCUGCCACCAUGAACAGCGCCUGGAGGAAGCUCUGGCCUGAGUGUGUCCCUGCUGGCACCCCCGAGCCUGACACUGUGCCUCAGCUCCGCCGCAGCAUUGUGGCACUAGCUCGGCAUGUGGGCCUUGGAGAUGCAGCUGAGGCUGAUGUUGCCAGCCUGCUGCAGGCCCAUGGGGAGCCCCCACCCCACAGCAUCCCCCAGGAUGCAAAGGAUGGGGACAUGAGUGGUUCUGGGCUGCCCUGGGAGACAGGGAAUGGCCUGGUCUCUAGAAAACAAGAGCCAGAUUUCACAGAGGCUGUGUGCUGGCCCAGUCUCAUCCCGAGGACCAGUGGUCUGGAGACCUGGCAGAGUCAGCCAAACUCUUCACAGAUGGAGCUCAGUUAUCUCUACCCCCCACAUGGGGCUUGAACUCACCACCCUGAGAUCAAGAGUUGCAUGCUCCUCCCACUGAGCCAGCCAUGUGCCCCACCAGUUUCCGGUUUAAAACAGCAUUCGCAGUAACCCAGGGGCUUCUCCAGGAGGAGAGAGGGUGUUGCUCACAGACAUGGACUGAGCCCACAUGGGAAGGAGAGCAGAUCAGCCAAGGAGCAUGCCCAGGGUCUCCUGCCAGGUGAGUGGGCCACACCCUGGCCCUCCCCACCCCUGACUGUCAUUCCUGGAGCUUCCUGAGAGACUGCAAAACCUGAGAACUCCUACAGUUGCCCUGUCCACAUGUACCCAAGCUGGGCUCAAGAGACUUUCUGUGAGUCACUGACAUGCUGAUAGCUCUUGGGCAUAGCCAGGAUGCUUCACUGUGAAACUCCAGUCACAAGUCAGUAGUGCAAAGCUCAACUGUGAGAGAUGCUGUUCCUGAAAGAAACUGGUCGGCCUUGUUGUGGAAGGCUACUAGGGAAAUGAGUUUCCCUACUGCCUCUAGGCCCCUUGCCUGAUUCCACAGUAGCCUGUCUGGGUCAUUUUACCAUGCCCAUGUAUAGUUGACCCUUAAAUAGAAUGGGCUUGAACUGCCUGAGUCCAGUUAUACGUGGGUUUUAUUUUAUAAAUAGAGUAUACUUCAGUAAAUGUAUUUUCUUUGUGUUUUUAAUAACAUUUUUUCUAGCUUUAUUGUAAGAAUACAGUGUCUAAUACAUAUACAAAAUAUGUGUUAAUUGACUGCUUAUGCUGUUGGUAAAACUUCCAGUCAACAGUAGUUAAUUAGUGAUCACGUUUUUGGGGAGUCAGAAGUUAUAAGUGGAUUUUCAACUGCUUGGAGGGGGGUUGGUGCCCCAAACCUGUUUGUUGUUCAAAGGUUAGCUAUUCCCUCUAGCAAAACAAAACAACAACAGAACAAAAACCAUGCAUUUUGAUAUCCUUAAUUACGUUGUUCACGGUCUCUGCAAGCUCAGAGCCAUGAAAUGUGUUUAUUCUAGCAGGACAGCUUUUUGUUUUCCUCCUUGGAUGCCUGGAAGCUCAGAGUUCAGUUUUACGUACAGUUGUUGUAAAUUUUUGUACCCUGCUACAAUGUGCUGAGCGCCCCCCACCUCUCCCCCAUUACUUUCUGAUUUCUGUGUUUGGUCUGACAUCAGUGUGUUAUGUAUUGUAUCACACUGGAUCCUUCAGGAGGUGGGUUGAAGUGGGUGAUUUGGAACAGUGUGCCCAUUGGGAGGCAUUGUUGUAAAGAGGUAAUGGGUUUUCAGAAGCUUGCUCCAUUACUGAGGGUAAGUUAAUUUAGUCUAUGGGACCAGAGUUCUUCCAUUGCUCUGUGGCCAAAUGAAAGAGAUUUAUCAAUGGUCUUUAGCAGGUUUUAUCCAAACUUGUCUGGACUUCCCACUAGUAAAAUUUUCUUCCCAUAUUACAGAGGGUCAGGGCCAGGGUGGCAGUGGCACUGAAAUCAGCAGUCACAGGGUGGGAACACACUUAUUCUUUAGCUGUGUCUGGAGAGAGUGAUGCAGACAGAGCCUCCUCUACCAUUUCUGGGCUGAAGAUCUCUUUGAAGAGGCCACCCAGCACAAGCCAGUGCCCAUGCACCAAGUGGGACCACAAGGCUAUCAACCUGCAGGAUAAGCUUGAGGUGUUUUGGCUCUUUGAAGCUGGAGAGAAGCUCAGCAGAAUCAGGAAUGCGCUGGGGCUCUCCACCUCCACCAUGGCUACCAUUCGUGACAACAAGGAGAAGAUCCGAGCCAGUUCCCAGGUGGCCACACUGCAGGCGGCCACCAAAUUGAUGCACAGCUGCAGCCUGGUGAUGGAGAAUAUGGAGUGGAAGCUAAGCGUGUGGAUCAAUGACCAGAAUGAGCUCAAUGUGCUCAUCAACAUCAUGCUCGUCCAGGAGAAGGCUUGCAGCCUGUUCGAGGACCUCAAGUGGGAGCAGGGCACGGGUGCCCAAUUGGAGACCUUCGGGGCAGUUGUGGGUGGUUCGCGUGUUUUAAGGCAUGCCAAAGCCUGCAUGCCUUGGGGUGGGUGGUGAGGCUGGGGGCUGCGAGGCCAUGGGCACAACUGCUGCAUCUGUGUGCAGGUACCCUGCCCUGCUUCAGAGAGUGAUCCAGGAGGGUGGCUACACACCAUGGUAGGUGUUCAACGUGGAUGAGACUGGGCUUUUCUGGAAGCGACUGCCUGACAGGACGUUCCUUUCCCUGGAGGAGAAAUCAGCCCCUGGGUGCAAAGCUGCCUGAGAUAUCCUGACGCUGCUACUCAGUGGCAGUGCGGCUGGCGAUCUCAUUGAAGUUGCUGCUGGUGUAUCCCUCAGAGAACUCUCACACCCUCAAGGGCUUCUCCAAGCCCAACCUGCCUGUGGUGUGGCGUUCACACAAGAAAGCCUGGGUGACCAUGAGCAUCUUCCAGGAGUGGUUUGUACACUUCUUCUGCCCAGUUGUGGAGAGGUUCUUUGCCCAUCACUGCUUGUCUUGGACAGUGUCCCUGGCCACCCUGGGAACCUGGACAACCUCUCCGACCAUGUGUAUGUGGAGUACUUGCCCAAGAACAUGACGGCCCUCAUCCAGCCCAAGAACCAGGGCAUUGUUGCCACCUUCAAGGCCUGCUACUUAUGGAGGGUCUUCUGCCUGUUGGCAUUGAGGGUGGGAGGCAGGGACCAGCAGUCUGUGGUCUUUGACUUCUGGCGAGUAAACAGCAUCCUUGAUGCUGUCUACAACAUCUCUGAGUCCUGGGAGGAGGUCCCACCAGCGACGCUGAGUAGGGGGUGGAGAAAGCUGUGGCCUCAGUGCGUCAAGCGGGAGGCCAGCAGGCUGCAUGUGGAAACUCUACAACAGAUCCGGCAGGACAUCCUGGCACUGACACAUGUUGCAGGUUUCAGAGAGGUGGCAGAGGCAGAUGUGGUUGAGUUGCUUUAGAGCCCUGGGGCAGACCUGUCCAACAAGGAACUGAUUAGCAAUUGGAUGCUAAUUGUCACCCUGUCCUGUUCUCUGAAAUGAUGCUGUGCCCCAUCUGAUUGGUUGGGGAGAGAGAGGAGAGACUGGUGGGUGAGCUAGAGAGGUAGAGCACUCACCAGAUCUCCAAGCCCCCAGCAAGGGGCAUCCUCAUGGCUGCAGGUGUCCCUUGGCCAGAACUGGAUGCUAAUUCUUCCUUUCUUCUUGUCUCCUCCCCUGCUCUCUCUGCCUUGCACUCCUCUCUUUACCGGUUUCCAUUUGAUACCUGCCAUGCCCUUUUGACUUUCUUCUCCCUGUGGACACGGCUCAUUCCAGACAGUGGUGGCAUUUGGAGAAAAGGCUGUGGAUCCCACAAGGGAAUGCUGGGGGCCACCGAUUGCUCUGCAGAAGGUGACCUUUGGGGAUGUGACCUGUUUGGGUAAGGAUGCGGAUUUUGGGGAGUGGGUUGGCCUUAUUGGUGGACAUACAGGCCCUCAGGUGAGUGGUCUGUCUCCAGCUAUGGGUUCCUGCUGCAGAAGGUCUUUACUCGAGACUACCUUCUUUCCACAGGAGUAGUGAGAUGGAGGGCUUCUCUAGAGGACUGGUUAUUGUUUAAAUUUGGCCUGAAGGUUUUGCUGUCAAGCCUAGAUGCCCACACAUCUCCCAUCUGCCUUCUGUACACACCUGUGCACACCUGGCGGGCAUAUGUCCAGACUCCAGCUCAUAUUACAUACAUGAAAUGAGUACUACCUGCUGGCUGGACCUAUCACACCUGAGCAGGAAAUUCUUCUAUCCCAAAACUUGGGCCAUCUUGGACACCCAGAGCUCUGGCUUCUCCUGGGAGUGGCUACUGUGGGUGUAUCUUGAGAUCCCAGGGUUGCCGGUCAGCUACUCCCAUUUGGGUGUCUGCACCACUCAGUGUAGAAUCAGAGUCAGAUGAACAACAACAACAACAACAACAACAACAACAACAACAACAACAAAAAUCAGUCAGAUGAAAGAUUGAUUUUAAACACCAUUUUUGGAUAUGUUAAUCAGAUAAGGGAGGAGUCACUUGCUGUUAGUUUGCCAUGGGGUGUGGGGCAUGUGGCCCAUUUCCAUUUAGGAGUCCAAGCCUGCUGGUCAGUGAGUGCCCAACUGCCCCGGCAGGGAGACCUGGCUGAGCGUUUUUGGUAAACUGUGCCUGCAUUACUUUCCACCUGGUAUUGCUCCCCACUGUUAUCACAGCUCCCAAGUGCAUCCAGGGAGGAUCUUGGGUGUGAUGCCAAACAGUUUUGUCAUUGUUUUGACCUUUUGCUGUCUAAAAAGAGAGAAGACAAUUCCAUGUAUUUCACAAGUGACAAGUACAGUGAGAUCAUUGAACAAGUGAAACAUACCAAACUACAAAAGAGGAAGUCUACCCUCUUGCUCCGCUGCCUGAAGUGAUUUGUUAUCUGUAUUGGGAACAAGGAAAUGCCAGUUAUCCCCCUGUCAGAGGCAACAUGAGCUUUUGCUACUGUAUUAAAAACAAGAACAUGUAGCACAUGAGGCCCAUGUUAGCAUUGGGCAUGGAGGGAAGCCUAGGAUGCUGGCAGAGCUAAGGAGAUAUAAGAAUGUGACACGGGAAGCCAUACUACUAUACUUGAA